CCUACGGGAGGCUGCAGUAAGGAAUAUUGGUCAAUGGAGGAAACUCUGAACCAGCCAUCCCGCGUGAAGGAUGAAGGGGCUCUGCCUUGUAAACUUCUUUUGUCUGGGGCGAAAAAGCUCGAUUUAUCGAGAACUGACGGUACCAGAAGAAUACGCACCGGCUAACUACGUGCCAGCAGCCGCGGUAAUCCGGAGGGUGCAGGCGUUACCCGGUGUCACGGGGUUGUAGGGGUGCGAGGGCGUCUGUGGUGAAAGGCUGUGGCUUAACCAUGGAAUUGCCAUUGAUACUGCAGAGCUUGAAUGAGGUUGAGGUUGGCGGAAUGUGACAUGUAGCGGUGAAAUGCUUAGAUAUGUCAUGGAACACCGAUUGCGAAGGCAGCUGACUGGACCUAUAUUGACGCUGAGGCACGAAAGCGUGGGGAGCGAACAGGAUUAGAUACCCGAGUAGUC
rnacentral:rRNA from 1 species